rnacentral:misc_RNA from 1 species
AACGCAUAUUGCGCUCGAGCCCUCGGGCAAGAGCAUGUCUGCCUCAGCGUCGGUUUAUGUCCUCACCCCUCCCAAUUUGUUGGGUGGUUUUGCUUUCCUUGCAAGCCAUUGGGGUGGAUCUGGCUUCCCCAAUCAGCCAUCGUGCAGAUUGGGUUGGCUGAAGUGCAGAGGCUUAAUCAAGAACCCAAUGUGGGCUUCAACUGGAUAGGUAGCACCGGUUUCAGCCGACUACACGAAGUUGUUGCUUGUGGAUCUUGAUAGGAGCCCAGCAGGAACGUGCUUACGGCAUGCCUAAACUUUCGACCUGAGCUCAGGCAAGGCUACCCGCUGAACUUAA